GACUUCCGGUUUACUGAUACACCCGUACUCCAGCACCGUGCCGUGCGCCGCAAUUGAUUCUUUUCGAAAACUUACAGUCAUCGUUUCAUUUCAUUUAAAUCUUAAUUUGAUUACUAUUCGUUCAUAGUUGAUUUUUUCAUUAUCAUAUCUCACGGAACUUGCGAAAUCAUCUCCUUCUGGACAUCAGAUCUUUUACAAUAGCGUUUGAUGCAGGAUAGAUCGCGUGCUCCGAAUUUCAGAUACUUCAACUCUGAACUUUCGAAAUUAAGGAUAUAUCCAAAGCCAUCCAACGCCAAGACAUGCUUGAAAUAACGUGUAAUGAUCGACUGGGCAAGAAAGUUAGGGUGAAAUGUAAUCCAGAUGACACAAUAGGGGACCUGAAAAAAUUAAUAGCUGCACAAACGGGAACGCACUGGGAGAAAAUAGUCUUAAAGAAGUGGUACACCAUUUUUAAGGACCACAUCAAGCUGCAAGAUUAUGAAAUACACGACGGUAUGAAUUUGGAGCUGUAUUACCAAUGAUGAUACGAACCUCUGAUAUUAGGAUUAAAUUUAUACCUCUAAUGUUAAUAAUAAUUUUUUUUUAUUGUGGAAUUACAACGUGUCUAUAACUAUUUCUAUGGGUAAUUAUAUACUUUGUAAAUAACAGUUGAACAAGUCCAGCAUUCAACUGCAUAACUGUAGCGAUUAUAGGUAUUUAAGAUACAUGAUAGUCAGAAAGUUAUAUUUGUUACCCCCAGUUUUUAAAACGUGUUUGAAACUCUACUUUCAUCCAGGUAGAUUUAUAUUUUUUUUUUUAUUAAACAUUAGUUUGGUCUAUGUUAGUAAUUUUUGAAUAAAUAAAAAUUACAUCUCAAACAAUUAUGAAAUACUAUUUAAACCUAAUAACAAAGCAACAAUUCGUAACAAUUUGACUUAGAUGGGUAGCAUUCAAAAUUUUAUUCACACCAUUGGUAUUUUGUGAUUGCAAGAUCAACCUUCUGAUAGAUUUACGUUCAUGGAGGUAGCAUAUUGCAAUCUACAAAAUGUGGAGUACUGUUGUCAAAUGUCAUUCGAAGUUACAUUUUAUCUAAUUCAGAAUUUAGUUGGAUAUGUGAGAAAUCGAACCAGUGUCCUGGAAUCCUGGUUAUGCCCAGCGAUAUAUUUAACUAUAAAUUUCAUUAUGAAAAUAAUCAACUUUCUCUUUCACACAAUUGAUAUUAGUUAGAAAAAUAAAUAAAUUAAAUCCCGCGGUUACGUAUGGUAGUAAAAUAUAGCUAGAGAGCUAAAUGAUCACAAUAGUAUCCAAAGUUUACCUAUACAAAAAUGACUCGGGAGAAGUGAUCAGAUAUUUCAUAUCCUUGUAUGCCACCUCCACUUACAUAAUUUUUCUAAAAAGCAGUUUUAUACUCAACUGGUGAGAUAACAUAAAAUUACAUAUUCGUUUAAUAUUAAUUUCUCUAAUGAGGUCUCUUGAAUCCUCCCUCCGUACGGUUAAUUGGACUUUCAGCUUCAAUCGUAACUCUACCUCGGUUGGCUAGG
rnacentral:misc_RNA from 1 species